CUUUCCUAUGAAAGAGAAAAGACCAACUAUGUGAAUUCGGGUUGGCCAGCGUUCUUAGUAAGAGGUCCACGAUCCUGGGGAACGAGGAGGAAUCUCUGACCGGCACUUAUAUCAUCAUAACCAGUCUCUUCCAGGUUGAAACCAGGCGACUGGAUCCUGAUCAAGGUACUCCAGAGGAAAAACUGGAGCUCUCCGAGGUGGGAGGGCCCUUUUCAGGUCCUGCUAACGACGCCAACAGCGUGCAAGAUCGCUGAAAGACCUUCGUGGAUCCACCAGAGCCACACCAAAAAAGUACAAGGGGACACAAGCCCAGACGCCAGUUCACCUGUCAUCUAGUGAUCUGUAAGUAAAGGAGAGGGCAGAUCGGGUAUACCCCGCCCUCUUAACUUUUCGCUUUCAGUCGACACACUAGGUGAUCUGGUGAACUUGGUCGACCUGAAGAAACCCCAUUGUAGCCCGAGCACCGACCUAGCCCCACCUGCCCGGUAGAGUAACAGGAGAUCAGUCCGACCUGCAAAACCAGAAGAGCAACCCAUCACUCAAGUAACUACUCAGACACUUAUAAACAAUGCCCGACACAGAUGUGCAAAAUGAACAUUCAGACAUUUCAGAUGGAGAGGACCCAGUCCCCAACAGGACUCGACGACGAUGCUGGUCAGAGGAAUGCCAACUAAUGCAUAAUUAUGUACCCCAUAACAAAAUUGAAAUGGCAUUCCUUGUAAACCUACUACAAACUCUAGAAACAGUAAUGAAUACAAGUCUGCGUGCAUGUGCUCCAAAAGAACCAAUAAAGAACUUAACAACACUUCCGGUCACACCGCCCGAACUAGCCCAUAACAUGACCAUGGUCUGCCUAUGGAGACUUAGAGUCCCAGAAAAGCAGGGUGUAUCUUUUGUUUAUCCAAAUAAGACACUGCAACCGGAAUCUUCCUGGCACAAGCUUAUAGCCCGAUAGCAACUGAAGAAGAAGAAGACUGUGUGUAAGAAUUUCUUGUACUUAACAUGACGUAGCAAUUGAAAAUGUGCAAACAAGUGAUUGUCUACUGAAGCCUAUGAAGUACGAGUGAAAUAUAUUAACAACAGGAGGGAAUGUUAUGAGAUUCUAUGUUUUUAUGUGUUUUAUUCUUUGUUUUAUUAUCUUUUAAUAUUCAAGCAUAUUGUAAAGUGUUUAUAUAUUUCACAGAAUUUGCUGUACUUCCCCAUGUCACAAGAUUCGAUGUAUUGCUCCAUUGUCAUGCAACCCGACAGUGAACUCUGCAAUACAAAUAGUUUAAGCGGGAAACAGAUGCGGGUCACCCAGACUACAAUAGAAAACGGAUGAGGCACCUAAACCACAACAGGAAAACAGAUGCGUGACUCCCUAACCACAAAAGAUUAAGUCAGCGCCACGUCUUUUAGAAAGAAGCAGACACACACACACAUAUACAACUGUUGGUUUAAAGGAAUUUGUAAAAGAGGAAAUGUGACGUAUUUGCAUACACGAUGUAAACUAUAAAUAAAGAGCCAUCGCCUGCACUCGGUGUGGGUCUCGCCAGAGUCCUCACCCGUGCGUGAGUCUCGUCAGAGUGCUCACCCGUGCACGUUAAUGUUAUUACAUUCUAA